AGAAGCAUAGCUCAGUGGCAGAGCAGCUGGUUUACAUGCAGAAGGUGCCAGGUUCAAUCCCUGGCAUUUCCA